GAUAGUUAUUAUCGCUCCGUAAAGAUUCUCAUUCGAAGGAGAAACAUUCCGGCCGGAGGAUGGUUUCUCAUUCAUUAGCGCGUCACAGAUUGUGUGCACUUUCACUGCGUUUGUAAAUUACAUCUACCAGCCAACGUUUGCACGAGCGAAACAUCGCGUUAGAUCGUCCGCCGGAUAUUUCAUUUUGUACGCGCAGAAUUGAGAUCAAGGCAUUUCUACCUUGUUUUCUUCCUUCGUCAAAGUGUCAAUAACAGGAAGAAGUGUGUACACAAGAAGUACAAGGAACAUUCCUCGGUGUUGGAACGUCCGAUAUGUAAUACGACGUCUAGGAGGAUUAGACUUGGCAAAACAAAUUAAAUUUUGCCUUCCUCAGCAUUGUGCGUUUACAAACAUGUAGAGCAUGCUUAAGACACCUGACAACCCGCGAUUUACUUCGGAACCUUGUAAUUCAAACCUGGGAACGGUAAACUACCAUUGCCAGCAAAAAUCGAUUCUUCAUUACCAAGGUGUUCUCGAUCAUUAGGAAUCGCGGAUUGGCACGGUUCAAAGUCGACCAGACGGUGUCACGGAAACGUGCAAGGGAACGGUGAUUAACACUUUUCUCGAUACAUCGAAAUCCUCGCGCGUGCUAAUUUGCCAAGUGUCCAUACGUACAAACUGACAAGAGAUCCUCGAACACGGAACGCGUUCGUUUACCAAGGCAUCUGUCUUGCUGCACCAUGAUGACGCGCCAAAAGCUCGCUUGGUCAUUGCUCGACAACAGAAGCCGAUCAGCAGGCAACAUCGUUUUUCUCAGAAGUCUAAACAGUUUGCAGCAGAGCGUAAGCUGGUCGAGCAAGUUUCCCGAUCCCAUUACCGCUCGUAGACCUUGCCGACGGGCAAAGAGGAGAAAAGGGACGUCGAAAGGGAGCAACACGUUGCAUCGCUUACGUCUCUCCUCGUGUUCGCCGUAGAUUGAAAAGUCUUGGGUCGAAAGAAGACUCGGAGAGAAUCGAAGGUGGGCAAUUUCCGAAAAUUCCGAGGAUUACGAAAUGGUUUUUCAUUCGAAAGAAAAGAGAAGGAACCGAGCGGAUGGAAGAAAACGGUGGUCGACACCGUGGAAACAAACCGUGAACCUCGCGCUCGCCCGGCCGUUUAGAAUUUCAAUCUGAUGUUUUGCAUUUCACGUUGGCGCGUAAUUCCUGGCCGAGGCGUACGUAAGCAAACGCGAGCCCCUGAGAUCAAGGGAAGCACGGAUCGGUAAACAAUGUGGUUCUCCUUACGCAAACUCCUCCUCCCCCGUGCAAUCACGCUGAUGGUACUUACGUUUACUUUUACUCCGGCAAAUUCCUCCGGAUCGCGCGAAUUGAUAUAUAUCAACAGUCGCCUUGAUCGUCAAACAAAACCAAACUAGCUAGAGCUGUAAUAUCACUCGGGCCUCAUCGAGCUGACGGGUCGCGAACUCGGUGAUAACCGCAGUCACCAACACGCCGCGCGCGUGUUGCACGCACCACGUCGCGGUGUAAAAAGAAAGAAGAGAAACACGAGAGAACGCUUGCCACCGAUCGCUGGUCUCACGGUUACCUCGACCGAAACGAGCAACACGACGGCGUCGAGCGUCGAUCGGGGACCACGGGAUCGUCGAGAUGCAUCCACGAGACGAUUCACAGCAACCCGAGGAGCAUGUCUCACCGGCGAUUUCCAGUCGAGACACGACGCGAAACGGAGCGUCGAGUUUUUGGCAAAACGUUCCGGUUCGAAAGGGCAGCCGCUCGACUUUCUUCUUCAGGCGUGUGUACACGAACGAAAGGGAACUCGUCCCGACCUGUUCCCAACCGAUUCUUCGCUCUUGCUCGCUCUUGCGUCUCGUUCGUCUGGCAAAAGAGAAACACACUAGGCACGGGCGUUUAUACACACUUGGACGACGGUCGGAGGCCGACUGUUACCACCACUGUGAUUCACGACCACGUGGAACUUAGCAAUGCUUCAACAUCCGCUCGUGAAUAUGUAUUUAUAGGUUCGUACACAACGACAGUAGGUUGCACGCCAGUAUGUUUCUCGCCUGAGAUGUACCCCCUUGGGCCCGAUGCUGCUCUUCAACUUUGUUCCUUCCUCUCCUCUCCUUUCUACCCUCUCCCUGCCCCGUUCCGCGAUUUCGCACUCCGAUCUUUUCAGCGAAAUAAAGGCAAUCUCGUUUCUACCGCGGCAUUCAAACACGCGGAACGAAUCCUGGAACCCUUGUGGGGCCUGUGUGACGUACGUAGCUUGACGUUGUUUCUUUUUCCCUCGUCGAGGCCUGCGGUUUCCUUAUCCUUUUACGUUUUUCGUUUUCGUUUCGUCGCUUUUGAAGCGGGCAGAGUUGAACUCCUCCCGGAGAGAAUUCCUCGACGGUCGAGCGACAUUGUAACUCGGAAAUGAGACGGUGAACACGCGUCCGGAGAACGAUUACGUUAAAGAAAGUAAGAUUUAUGCGUUUUAUAAAGAACGAGUCCAGACGAGGCGUGUGUAUGGCUGGUGUGUUGAGAUUCAAAUAUUCGUCGAUAAAAAUCUGACGGGACGUGGGCUGAUUCAAACACUCUGGGAAUUAACGUAAAACAUGUUGCGAUGCGGACAAUUAGAAAUUUAAACGAUCGUAUAAAUUUUCUCGCACGAAUCAUUGACAUUCAUAUCGGUUAGAUGCGAGCGACAUCGCGAUUUGAAUUUAAAAUAAGUGUUUUUCUUUUCUUUUUUUUUUUCUUUUUGUUUUCGUUUUAGUUUCGAUCGUACAAUUAUUAAUUAAUUUCAAAAGAGUGGCGUUAUAGCGACGUUUAACGGCCAGAUUUGUUUAGCAAAUAAACGCGAACGAGGCUUGAGACAAACGGGGUCGAUCAACUGACUGACCUCUUGUAUUAAAACGUUCAACCGAAGCCAAUCGUGCUCGACAGACUAUCGUUACCAUUAUCGAAACUCAUCAGCUAUAUCAGUGUUUCAGUUAUUAAUUAGUAUUAAUUAUCGUUCCCGAACGGGCUGAAAUAAACGAACGCGAGAUCGUGAAAUGAUCGAACAAAUUAUUGUCCAAAAGAACGCAAGGACGUGGCCAAAAUUUAUUCAUAUACUGUCAGAGCAACCUCUGUAUUCUUUGCGUUCCCUGAUUACCAUUUUUCCAAAUAAACUACGCCACGGCACGUGCUUCUGUAAAACUACUACUUCGUGAUUGAAAGAAAUUUUAGAAACGAGAGACACCGACAAACAGGAACUUCUUUCUACCAACGAUAACAGCGGACGAACUGUGCGAACCAGUUCCAGAAAAUGCUUCAAAGAAUCUCUUCUUCCGGCAGCAUUUCUGCGCGGCGACAUCGCCAAGAAGUCGGCACGAUCUUUUUCAUGGAACGACCUAAACGAUCGUGUGUUUAUCGCGUUUUCCGAAACGACGUCCAGCGAGAAGAAGCGAUCAAUCGUCAGGGGAAAAAACGAAGCGAAUUGAAGGUCGCUCGGGCAGAGAAAUAGACACGAGACCCGGAGUAUUUAAUCGAAAAUGUUUUUGCCAUAGGUCGGUUCAGGUAAGGAAAACUUUGAGGGAGAUAGACAUCGGGGGCGAGGAAAGGAAAAGAAUGUCCUCGCAGCGUGAAGAGAAAUAAAUGGCCCGAGGGACGUUGGUUCUCGUAAAUAUUCUCCGAAGAAACGACCUAACACUACGUGCUUAGCCGCAUAGCUGAAUCUAAAAAUACGAAGCACGUGGUGUUUAAAAAGCGAAAGCCAAAAAGCGAGAGAACCUGUCCGACCGGAGCUCGGCCUCCCGUGUCUUAUUUCGUGGAAAUCGAGAAUACGCGGCUGCAUACGCGUUGCAUUAUACCGAGUUGGUAUCGAAUGAUGCGACUGCUAUGUCGGAAACUAAAGGAACGAUUGCGUGAACACGCAUCGGUGAAAGAAUUCGUUGGAAAAAGAAAGAAUAAAAUACCAGUUUCCAUCGUUGUUCUAGCGACGAUUAUCUAAUAAAUGGGAGGAGAAGCGAGAGGCAAGAAAUCGAUAAAACAUGCUAUUCGUGAGAUAAAUAACGUGACGCAAACGGUGGCUAAUUAAGCGAUGUCGAUGCAAUAUCUAUGCUGUACGAGAUUUAAAUUCGAAAAAUUUAGCAUAACUGAACCGAACUGAAGACGAGUUAAUUCGUUAAUUGUAUAGGCGACGUUCCUUCAUUUAUGGAUCCUCUACAUUUGAAUGUAUUGUUUCGUUUGUAAUGAUUCAGUUUGAGAGAAUAAGAAUCGACGUGUUUCGAAUCAACUUACGAUUACAGAAAUUUCGGAAACCGAUCGGCCAACUGGAAACGAUUGCUGCGGGAUUCUCGUCGGUGAUGAUUCUUUCAGGCGAGAUUGAUCGAUUCCUCGAGCUCAAUCCUGUUCCUCGAAAUCACCCA